AUCGAAAUUGCGGGAUUGCUCAGGCUCACUUGCUCAAGAGAACUCAACCAAGUUAAGAGAGAAUAAAAAACGGAAUGAAAUGAAACCCAAUUACCCAUCGAACUUAAACAGAACAAAUCAUCGAAAAUUCUCUGAAAUCAGCGGCAAAAUGGAGAUAGCAAUUGAUUCCUUCAUCUUCAUCACCUGCUCGGGUCUUUGCUCUCUGCUAAUUGACGUCAUCUUAAUUCGCUUCCUCUUGUGGUGUGAUAUUAAGGUGUGGUGGGAAAUCGCUAUUGACUGAAGGAUAUGGACAUUUACUUCUUUUACACUAAGUAGACCUACGGAAGGAUGCAACAUUUUUGUGUAUCCGCUCGAAGAUAUCCAAUGCCCCAAAGUUGUGGCCUUGAUAUGAUGUCUUCUCCAGUUUCUAGAGAAUUUUCUACACUGUGCAAAUGGUUAUGCUGCUUCCUGUUGAUGGACUGGAAUGAGAAAUUCAACAUUACUAUAGACAAUAUCAAGUAUGGGAUUAGCUCAAUCAACUUGAACGUGAUUGGUUUGGUACUUCGGUGUACAAUCUGGCAUUUUCCUCCUGUAUCCUUUACUAGCCUUUUUUUAUGUGAAAAACCGACAAGCUACAGGCCAGGGACAGUUCUUUUAUUCACAUAGUUACAAGUUAGUUCAACAGUAGUCCUGAAUUUCUAUGUAUAUGCUAUAUCCUAAUUUCACUGGAAUUAGAAUACUGUAAAAUUCUGAUGCAAACUAAGAAUUAUGUCAUUUUGAUUGGAUGAUGACAUAUAAUAGAAAGUGUGUGCAGUGGGGGAUUUUGAUAUUUAGCCAUUCGAAACUCGGGUCAGGUUAAUUAUGUUGUCUAAGUUAAAGAUUUCCUUUGUGUUAGCUCCAUGCAUAGGUCGUUUAGGAUCCUUUGUGCUGCCAACAUUUUCAUUUGAGCUAUACCUCCAUGCCAAAUGGUGUGCGAUCUUUUGAAUUUGUGUCUCACAGUACUGUGUGUCAAA